GCUGAUAGGGGUACGAUGAUUAAUAAAAGAAUAAGAGCAAUUAAUCUUGAGCGCAAGCUUCAAAGUGCUGGAGGCUUAAGAAGUUGGCUGGUUUCAAGGGGCUUUGAACAUUUUGUGAACAUCUUUCAGACCAAGAGUAUUAACAAGUAUCAAUUGGCAAAUCUAACCAUGGAAAAGCUCAAGGAGAUGGGUUCGCACGCUGUUGGUCCUAGGAGAAAACUGAUACAUGCUAUUGACUGCCUUUGUCGUCCAUGCUGUUUUGAUCAUCCAAA
rnacentral:misc_RNA from 1 species